AAUGAACGUUGGCGGCGUGGAUUAGGCAUGCAAGUCGAGCGAGAACCCCGCAAGGGGGGACAGCGGCGCAAGGGACAGUAAUGUGUAGAUCAUCUGCCCUCAGGUCCGGGAUAGCUGCGGUAAACUGCAGGUAAUACCGGAUAACAUCUCCGGAUCAAAGGUGUGAUUCCGCCUGAGGAUGAGUCUGCAUCCUAUUAGCUAGUUGGCAGGGUAACGGCCUACCAAGGCAUUGAUGGGUAGCGGGGGUGAGAGCACGACCCGCGUCAUUGGGACUUAGACACUGCCCAGACACCUUCGGGUGGCUGCAGUCGAGAGUCUUGGGGAAUGGGCGCAAGCCUGACCGAGCGACGCCGCGUGUGGGAUGAAGGCCUUCGGGUUGUAAACCACUGUCAGAGGGGAUGAAAUGCAGGUGGGUUCUCCCAUCUGUUUGACAUAGCCUCAGAGGAAGGACGGGCUAAGUUCGUGCCAGCAGCCGCAGUAA
rnacentral:rRNA from 1 species